rnacentral:rRNA from 1 species
GGGAUUAGUCCCUUCUAGUAACCGGCGGUGAGCGGCAAGAGCUCAGAUUUGAAUCGUGCUUUGCGGCACGAGUUGUAGAUUGCAGGUUGGAGUCUGUGUGGAAGGCGGUGUCCAAGUCCCUUGGAACAGGGCGCCCAGGAGGGUGAGAGCCCCGUGGGAUGCCGGCGGAAGCAGUGAGGCCCUUCUGACGAGUCGAGUUGUUUGGGAAUGCAGCUCCAAGCGGGUGGUAAAUUCCAUCUAAGGCUAAAUACUGGCGAGAGACCGAUAGCGAACAAGUACUGUGAAGGAAAGAUGAAAACACUUUGAAAAGAGAGUGAAACAGCACGUGAAAUUGUUGAAAGGAAAGGGAUUGCGCCCGACUUGGGAAUGCGCCACCGCUGCCUCCCGUGGGCGGCCCUCUGGCCUUUCCCUGGGCCAGCAUCCGUUUCUUGCUGCGGAAAAGGGUUCCUGAACGUGCUCUUUGGAUGGUUAUACCAGGCCAAUGUUCGUGGGGGAACAAGACUGGCGCCGGUAGUCAGGAUGCUGCCAAACGCGCCACACCCCCCCCUCUUGACCAGGAGG